CAUUUCCUGCUGACGAACAGAACCUGAACCAGAACCUGAAGUCAGCAGAAAAUCAGCAGAACCCUGAUAAACAUGGAUAAACGUUCUUAUUCUGGAUAGACAUGGAUCAACGUUCCUAUUCUGGAUUAGGUCUCUAGUUCAGAUUACCCACCAGGUUCUUUACUGGACUUGGUUCUGGUCUGUGGUGUAGAUGGAGGAAGGUGGACCUUGGUUUGUUGUUCGCAGAGGAUCCGGACCUCUGAAGUCCUGGUUUCAUGAUGCCUUGAACUCUUAAAAAGGUUCCCUGGUCUUUAGGAAGAGAAAAGGCCCUCAGUACCACACGUCCUCCACCGUAUUUAAUCCCCAUGUGAGUUUUAGCCUGACAGAAGAACCAAUUCAGGUGAGUCUCAUCUGCCUGAAGGUCCACAUUCCAGGUAGAAUCUCAGAGACUUGGGAACCUCCUAUGUGACAUGCUGGGACAUGGGUUAGUCUAGGAUUGAACACGGUUUAGUCUGGGCUUAGUCUUGGUUUGGACUGGGUUUGAUAUGGUUUUGGACUGGGUUUAGUCUGGGAUGAACAAGGUUUAGGCUGGGAUUAGUCUUGGUUUGGACUGUGUUUAGUCUGUGUUUAUACCAGGUUUAUUCUGGGAUUAGUCUUGGUUUGGACUGGGUUUGAUCUGGUUUUGGAUUGGGUUUAGUCUGUGUUUGGACCAGGUUUAUUCUGGGAUUAGUCUUGGUUUGGACUGGGUUUGAUCUGGUUUUGGAUUGGGUUUAGUCUGUGUUUGGACCAGGUUUAGUCUGGGCUUAGUAUUAGUUUGGACAAGGUUUAGUAUGUGUGUGGACCAGGUUUAGUCUGGGCUUACUAUUGGUUUAGACCGGGGUUAGACUGUGUUUGUACCGGGUUUAGUCUGGGCUUAGUAUUAGUUGACUAGUAGGGCUUCAUCUGGAAUUGGACCAGGUUUAGUCUGGGAUUUGUGCUUGGUGUGGAUCGGGUAAGUCUGGGAUAGGACUGAGUUUAGUCUGGGAUUAGUCCGGGUUUAGUCUGGGCUUAGUCUUGGACCGGUUGUAGUCUGGACCAGGGUUAUUUUGGGAUUGGACCGGUAGGAUAAACCAAUGGUUGUCAUGGAGACCUGGUGCCAUGUCUCAGAACGGAUUAGAGGCGGGUCCAAAUGUCCCCAGAGAGACCAGAAGUUUCCUGGGAUCUGGUCCUGGUUCUGGAUCAUCCUGGUCCUGGUUCUGGAUCAUCCUGGUCCUGGUUCUGGUUCUGGUUGGUCUUCCCUGUGGAUCCUGAGCUGCUUCUAACAGCAGACUGUGGAUGUUUUCCUGGUUUUAACACUGUUGAUGUUUUCCUGCCAUCUUUAAGCUGUGAACGUUUCCUGUGAAUAAAUCUGUUUCAGCCCCCCCCCCCCCCCACUCAUGUUCCCCUCAUACAAUCUUCAAAGGGCAAAACAGAAACACAUACUUAUAGUUUCUUGUUUGAUAAUCUGUUCAACAUUAAAUACAUCACAAGUGAAAACA